GGUUAAGCUGCUGUUGCGGGGUCUGACUGGUGGAGAGACGCCAGGGCUCUGACAAAACCUAUCAAACAAUGUUGAAGUUUGGACAGGAGCUUGAACAGGAAUAAACCGUUAUGCUUCGAAGGUGACGCACCAGCCAGACUUUACUGGAGAAGCUCAUUUUGCCAUGUGACUCAAAGAUCCAGCCGUGAUAGGACAGAAGAGCUUUGAGGAUGUAACGAAUUAGCAGGAUGAAGGAAUACCACACAGCCGUGGCAAACAGGAUGGCGCUGAACACCGUCUGGGUUUGAACCGUCAUAAAUUCACUACAUAGCAAACAGGUAAAAUAAAAAUUCAAAACAGCCCAAGUUAUAGCAGAGUAUGGAUAAUGUAUUAUUGUAUAAUCUGCUUUAGGUCAACACGAACACAUUUUAAAUACACUUUUAGGCAUAACUUUUUGUGUGCCUUGAAAGAAAAUUAAAAUUACACUGUUUACAAAGUAUCCAAUUUACUGUACCUGUAUGUUUAUAUAAAAGUAUAAAUUCA